UUCCUGCCUCGCGGCGUCGGAAGGCGGGGCCGGGAGACGCCGCCGGGACUACUGCAGGCCUUGCCCCGCUGGAGGGACCCUCUGCGAGGCGGCCUCGGAAGGGGAGCGGCGUUGGUGACGGCGGCUGAGGCCCACCGGGGCAAAAGCUGAGGAGUGGUCCAUCGUCCCCGAAAUCAGAAUGAGACAUUUGAAAUGUCUAUGCUGCAGGAUGCUCCAGCUACAAUAUCUUCAGAAAUCCCUGCUGUGGAUGUGCUGCACCAAGAUCUGACCUCUACCACAGACCUCUCCUUUGCCAGCUGCUGAGAAAGGAUUGUCGUAUCAAAUAGUCCAUUUGCUAAGCUAUCUUUAAAGGCCUGGCCAUGUGUGAAAACAAACCCAUUCAUGGAUCCCUUGAGAGCUACAGACAAGAGUUAUCUUUCCUACCCAACUGAAAGAUGAAAUUUUAAGGGGUAAAAGAGUCAGCUGUCAAAAUCUCCUCCUUGGAGGAGUCUGUACAGAUGGCCUCAAAAAUGCCAUUAUUUCCAGCCCACUCAGGGCCUAGAUAAUAUUCAAGUAUUUCAGAAUUUUAAGCAUUCUUCUGGGAGAAGACCUGGUAUUUCUCUGGGGAUUUAUUAUCUUGGUUUUCUUCAGAUCACAUAUUCUUUUAGAUAGAAAAAGCACAUCAGUGAUGUGGUCUGGAAAAAAAAAAAAAAAAAAGAAAUAUGUAGCAUGUGCUCUUUCUUCAGUAUAUAGUUUUCUUGGGUUAAUGCUGGGUAAAUUGAAACUUUCCCAUAGCUAUGAAAGAAUCAUAGAAUUUGGGUUGGAAGGGACCUUUAAGAUCAUCUAGUUCCAACCUGCUGCUAUAGGCAGGGACACCUCCUGCUAGAUUAGAUUGCUCAAAGCCCCAUCCAGUCUGGCCUUGAAUGCUUCCAGGGAAGGGGCACAAACCCACUGAGGACAACUGUCCAGUCGAUUCCUUAUUCGGUGAAUGGCCCAGCCAUCAAAUCCAUUUUUCUCCAAUUUUGCAACCAGGAUGUCACGAAGGACAGAGUCAAACGUCAAGUCCACAUCGAUCACAGAAUCACCAAGGUUGGAAAAGACCUUCAAUAUAAUCCAGUCCAACCAUCCACUUAUCACCAAUAGAUGAUGUCAGUUUCUCUUCCUUUAUCCACUGAUACUGUAAUUCCAUCAUAAAAGGCCACCAAGUUUAUCAGGCAUGACUUGUCUUAGUGAAGCCACUUUGGCUACCACCAAUCACCUCUUUAUUUUCCAUGUGCCAUGGUAGGGCCUUCAGGAGGAUCUGCUCCGUGAUCUUGCCAGGCACAGAGGUGAGGCCUGUAGUUCCCUGGAUCUUCUUUUAUUUUCCUUCUUGAAAAUAAAGUUACAUUUCCCCUCAUCCUAUCAGUGGGAACUUCACCAGACCACUAUGAUCUUUGUCACGUUGUUUGCUUUCUACACUUUAAAAAAUUUUCAGCAAUGGGAAGAACAAGGGGGAAUCUAGCAGGUAUUCUGGGACCUAACUCCAAAUAUUUGGAGCUCAAGUAAUAGAUAACACAGCUAGCAAGGACGAAAUAGUGAAUGGGCAUAACCUUUGCCAGUUUGGGUGAAAGGCAGUGGUGUAAAAAUGCUCAGAAGGCUAGGUAGGAUUGGAACAACAAGAGCUUUAGAGACUGACACUGCCACCUUCUCCUCAGUGCAAGAGGAUGGGCAAAAGUACCCCUGAAACUUGUCAAGAGAGAUUGUUUGUAUGGAUGGAGGGAUUAACUCAUACUUUUUUAACUGGACAAUUCAAAACUUUGUGUGUACAAAACCUAGAAAAUCUUUUAUCUAAUAGAGCUCAGCCCAGCAAGUGCUUAUAUACAACAGUGACAAACUUUGUUGCAGAAAGGGAGAUGAGCUGGAUUCUUAAGCUAAGAUCUUCAGUUGUGCCCCAGAGCAGCAGGCUCUUCGCGUGGUAUUGUUUUUUUUCCCUCUCUCUCCUACUGAGCUUCCUUCUCAAGCAUUUGGUACGAGGUUGAGUUAAUGGUACUAGUGUGAUGACCCUGUAGGACCCCUGCCUUUCUAACUCAGAGAACAGGAAUUCCAAAACUAUAGUUAAGGACACCAGGCAAGUCCUUCUGUGCUCUGGACAGCUUGGUCUGGUUGUUGGCAACUCUGCCUGUGCCAAGGGGGGGUUUAAACUAGAUGAUCAUUGAGGUCCUUUUCAACCCAGGCUAAACUGUGAUUCUAUGAUUCUGUGUUUCCCACAGAGCCCCUCAGAGGCUGAGUACUGGGCUGCAGUUGGCUCUUAUACAGGUGACCACUGGAUAGGAGUCUAUCAGGAAUGCACUUAUGCAAUGAGGGUUUCUGAACACUUCAGAAUGUAAUAAUCAGGAGUAAAUGUAUACAGAGGCUGUUCAAGAGAAUGAAAAAGGGCCAAGAAGGACUCCCCGUACUGAACACGAACCAGGGAGAAGCUAGCUGUGAGUGGGUUAUUCAAGUCAGUACGUUCUGGCUGUUUAAAACAAAAUCAUGCUGAGAGCAUAUGGAUCACCAGCACCCACAAUGAAAUAUCACAGCUAGACUCUAGCUGCAAAGAGAGCCUGAUCAUAACAGGAAACAGUGGAGGCAGGCUCGUGGUGCUGUGAUACAUCGGGUAGGGCAUGGUGAUUGCUAAUAUUCAACCACAAAGGCUUUUAGUCCAUGCACAACUAUGGAGAACAGCCAGGGCUUUUUUCUAUUUGGUUCAUGGGAUGACAAAGGAGGAGCUCUAUGGUCAGGAAGGAAGGAGGGCUUGCAAGGUAUAUUAAUCUCUUGCGGAAUCAGCAGAAUUAUACCAGGGCUGAAUUUGAGAUAAAUGAAGUGAGACCAAAUUAUUGUGGCAAUUCUUACCAAGUUUAUUAGAAAUAUCAGAGUUCUGUGCACAAGUGUCAGUAGUUUGCCUGCCCUAGUUCAUACUGAGUGUGACAGAGACUGACAGUCUUCGUUGAUCUUUCAUAAGAUCACAACAAUUCCUGCAACAAGAUGUCAGUGACAUUAUGAAAGAAAAGAAAAUAAAGAAGGAAAGAAUGUGUGGAGGAGGAAACAAAGAGCUGGGUUUUAUGGGAAUAGAAAGCAGCGAACAGGAAAGAGAGCUCUGCAGGGACAGCAGUAACAAAUCUCAUUACUUCACAAGUCCUGUGGCUGCCAUGUACACAGGAUCUGCAGACACUGUUCAAAGAUCACAGGUUUCUUUUUCAUAUAAAAAUGACCAAUUUGCUUCUCUCUGAGCAAAGUAAAAGUACCUGAGACGCUGCAAAUUCACAAACCCCAUACUAAGGGAAAAUCAGACUGUUGAAAUACUGUCCUUUUUAUAUAUAAAUUAAU